rnacentral:rRNA from 1 species
CCUACGGGUGGCAGCAGUGGGGAAUAUUGCACAAUGGGGGAAACCCUGAUGCAGCGACGCCGCGUGAGUGAAGAAGUAUUUAGGUAUGUAAAGCCCUAUCAGCAGGGAAGAAAAUGACGGUAACUGAUUAAUAAGCACCGGCUAACUACGUGCCAGCAGCCGCGGUAAUACGUAGGGGGCAAGCGUUAUCCGGAUUUACUGGGUGUAAAGGGAGCGUAGGCGGCAGAACAAGUCUGGAGUGAAAUGCGGGGGCUUAACCCCGGAACUGCAUUGGAAACUGUUCAGCUAGAGUGCGGGAGAGGUAAGUGGAAUUCUUGGUGUAGCGGUGAAAUGCGUAGAGAUUAGGAGGAACACCAGUGGCGAAGGCGGCUUACUGGACUGUAACUGACGUUGAGGCUCGAAAGCGUGGGGAGCAAACAGGAUUAGAUACCCUAGUAGUC